GUGGGGAAUAUUGGACAAUGGACGAAAGCCUGAUCCAGCCAUGCCGCGUGUGUGAAGAAGGUCUUCGGAUUGUAAAGCACUUUAAGUUGGGAGGAAGGGCAUUAACCUAAUACGUUAGUGUUUUGACGUUACCGACAGAAUAAGCACCGGCUAACUUCGUGCCAGCAGCCGCGGUAAUACGAAGGGUGCAAGCGUUAAUCGGAAUUACUGGGCGUAAAGCGCGCGUAGGUGGUUCGUUAAGUGGGAUGUGAAAGCCCCGGGCUCAACCUGGGAACUGCCUCCAAAACUGCAUGACUAGAGUACGGUAGAGGGUAGUGGAAUUUCCUGUGUAGCGGUGAAAUGCGUAGAUAUAGGAAGGAACACCAGUGGCGAAGGCGACUACCUGGACUGAUACUGACACUGAGGUGCGAAAGCGUGGGGAGCAAACAGGAUUAGAAACCCGAGUAGUCC
rnacentral:rRNA from 1 species